ACUGAAACCAACGCUUCUGUCUUUGUACGGGCCGUCGCUUCCAUCAUCCUGCGGUAAGCAGCAUGCCCAACCGAAAAAACAAAGCUCGUCGCGGAGCCGCCAGCGUCCUCAACUCAGCGCCGCCCUGACGCCCGCGCACGCACGGCCUCGCUGCGUGACGCUACCGCCGCGGCUACGCCGGCGCCCGCACCCGCGCCUCGGCCUCCCCGCGGGGCUCGCCAACCUCGUGCGCUCUCACGGUCGGCCUUGGGCCCCGGGAGCCUCAUGGUGCGCCGAGCUCCGUCCCUCUAGGCUCUCAGUUCCAAGGCGUCGGUUUUGCGUCUCGUAACGGCCGCUGUGGCGCAUGCCCAGAAGCCAUUUUCAAGGUCCUCUUCCGAACCUUGGCGAGGACCCCUGCGCCUGCCGCGCCGUUGACCCCGCUAGCGUGCGGCUGCGACGCGGCACGGUACGGCAGCUGUUGGCGAAGGCCCCCAACUCCGAGCGCGUCCGCAGACCGCGAGCCGGAAGGCGGCUUGGGCGGCUGUUGAGUUCGUGGCGCUCCCGAGGCGUGGCAAAGGCCUAAAAACGGUCCUGGCCAGCGGAAGGCGGCAAGAGGAGCAGCAAGGCUCCACGCGAGGCGGCCGGCGGCUGGAGUCCCAGUCAGCCUCCGCUUUCAUCCCAGAGCAGUCCACGGGGGCCUUAAAGGAAUGUAGGCUGGGUGAAGUUGGCCCAGUGACACCUGCGUUCAGAAAAACGUUCUUUCCGCUCCCAACGCCCCCUCUCCACCGCCACCCGACCCCCGAAAUAGUUUUCCCCGAGUGUUGUGGAUAGAACUGUUGAUCUCUUGGAAAAGUUAUUGUAUCCUGCCAUCCUUCCCUCUGGAGACUCCACUUAAUAUAUAUAAGUACUUUCUUUCCUGUAUAUGAUGGAAGAGUAUUAGGGGGGUGAGGGGAGGGACGAAGCUGCCUUCUUUAGGGAAAAAAGAUUGACUUAUAUUUUGAAAGAUGCAAAAGCUGGUGUUUUUGCUACUGAAUUAAUAGCCUAUUAAUAUGCCACAAAUGAUAUAUUGGAACUGUAUUUUCAAACAUUUAACGCCUGCUGUAUGCAAAGCACUAUGCUGACAGCUUAAGGGUACCACAAUGAUAAAUUACACCAAUCUUGUUUUUGGCAUUUUGGGGAGUCUAGUGUCAUAGGUAAAGAAGUACAUAACUAACAAUAAGCUUCAAAAAUUCAAUCAUAAGGCCCGGCACCGUGGCUUCCGCCUGUAAUCCCAGCACUUUGGGGGAUCACUUGAGCCCCGGAGUGUGAGACCCCGUCUCUACCAAAAAAAAAAAGAAAUUAGCUGGGCAUGGUGGUGCCUGCCUGUGGUCCCAACUGUUUGGGAGGCUGAGGCCGGAGGAUCACUUGACCCCAGGAAUCUGAGCCUGCAGUGAGCUAUGAUUGCACCACUGCACUCCAGUCUGGGCGACAGAACCAGACCAUGUCUAAAAAGAAAAAACACUCAGUGAUAAUUUCACAUUACAGUUUGAGAGGUUCCUGUUGACUUGGGGAAACUAGUUUUAGCAGACUUCAUUAAAGGAGUGUACACCUUACUACAGGAUGUAAUUUAAAAUAGAAUGUUUAAAUAAUAAAUUCACUUCUGGGUAUAUACUCAAAGCAGGAAUUCAAACAGGUAUUUGUACACCAAAGUUCGUAACAGCAUUAUUCACAGUAGCCAAAAUGUGGAAACAACCCAAAUGUCCAUUAAAGGAUGAAUAAACAAAAUGUGAUAUACAUACAAUGGAAUAUUCAGCCUUUAUUUUUCCAAUCAGAGUUUCAGGAAAAUCAACCUUUAAAAGGAGUGAAAUUCUGACAUUUGCUGCCACAUGGAUGAAUCUUGAUGAUGAUAUGCUGAGUGAUAUAUAAUCAGUCACGGAAGGACAAAUACUGCAUGAUUCAAUUUAUAUCAGGUACCUAGAGUAGCCAAAUUCAUAGAGACAAAGUAGAAUGGUGGUUGCUACGGGCUGAGAGGAGGAGGGAAUUGAGAGUUGUUUAAUGGGUGAUGGAAAAGUUUUGUAGAUAGGAUGGUUGCACUGAAUGCCACUGAACUUAAAAAUUGUUAAAGUGGUUUUAUGUAUAUUUACCACAGUUUCAAAAAUUUUAAGGAAAACAUAAAAGCUAUCAUCUAUACAGCAUUCCUGGAUCUAGGGUUUUUGCCUCCCCUGCUGGUUAGCCCAUUUAUGAACUUGAGCUCCUCAUGUCCAUUCCCUCUCCAAAUUUGCCUAUUUCAUCAUUCUCCUGGCCUCCUACUCUUAUUAGAGUCUGAAAAAUCAUCCUUGGCUCUGUCCAUUUUUGUCCUUCCCACACUUGGACAAUCACCAAAUUUUGACUUCUUCAAGCUGUCAUCUACCAUCUGUUCCUUCCCACAGCUAAUAGCUUAGCCUUGUCAUCUCAUUUUGUCAUUAUAACUCAUCUUUCCUUCGUACACAAGGUAAGUCCUACUGAGUUAUAGACCAUGUAACGUCUUUUAGAGUGGAUUUUAAGUCAAAUAGGCCUUAAAUCCAGAUUUUACUAUUACUGCAUAACCUUUGGAAGUUGCAUCCUCUCUGAGUGUUAGGGGGUUUUUUUAAGUUAAAAAAUGAGAAAUGAUUACUUAUUUGGUAAAUGUGUAUAGAGUAUUUAUUAUGGAUCAAGUACUUGUUUGAAUUUAAAAGACAGAUAAAGAUCCUUUCAUAGCUUUUACAGUCCAGCAGGUGUAGGUGUCUGGCACACAAUAGGUAAUCAAGAGUUAUCCUGGGCUGAGUGAGGUGGCUCAUGACUGUAAUCCCAGCAGUUUGGGAGGCUGAGGCAGGAGGAUGGCUUGAGGCUAGGAGUUCAAAACCAGCCUGGGCAACAUAGCGAGACCUGUCUCUACAAAGAAAAAAAACAUUAUCUGGCCAUGCUGGCGGGCACCUGUACUCCUAGGUACUCAGGAGGCUGAGGCAGGAGGAUCGCUUGAGCCUGGGAGUUUGAGGCUGCAGUGAGCUGUGAUCAUGUCACUGCACUCCCUGGGCAACAGAGUGAGACCCUGUCUAACAAAAAAUUAAUUUCAAAAUUUAAAAUAUUUUUUAAUAUUUUAAAACGGAGUCUGGUUCUGUCACCCAGGCUGGAGUGCAGUGGCGUGAUCUCGGCUCACUGCAACCUCCACUUCCCAGGUUCAAGCGAUUCUCCUGCCUCAGCCUCAUGAGCAGCUGGGAUUACAGUCACGCACCACCAUGCCCAGCUAAUUUUUGUAUUUUUAGUAGAGACAGGGUUUCACUAUGUUGGCCAGGCUGGUCUCGAACUCCUGACCGCAAGUGAUCUGCCCGCCUCAGCCUCCCAAAGUGCUGGGAUUCCAGGCGUGAGCCAUCGCGCCUGACAAAAUUUUUUAAGUUAUUCUGGAUGCCAGUUUGAGCCUGAUGCUUAACAGGAUGGAAUAUUUGGAGGUCUUGAGAAGAGGGUGAUUGUAUAUUCCAUGUAAGAGGAAUGUAAAUAGUUUGUGUCUAGAAGGAAGAUUGUAACAGAUUAAGAUGUACGAAUUCCUUCUCACCUAUUGAGAGAAACGGGGUCUAUUUCUUUUCCUUUUGAAUCUAUAUGGGUUUUGUGAUUUCACCAAUGAAUAGAAUACCUCUGCCAGUUUUUGGGCCUAGGACUUAAGAAACUGGCAGCUUCUACUUCCUGUUUUUUAACGCAUCCACUCUUGGAACCCAAAUGACAAUCUGCGAAGAAGACUAAGGGGCCCCACGGAGAGGCCCACAUGGAGAAAACUCAAUCCCCCCUCACCCGCUAUCCCAGGCUGUCAGCCAGCACCACCUUGUCUUGCCAGCCAUGUGAGUGAGCCAUGUUGGAAGUGAAUCCUCCAGGCCCGGUGAGCCAUUUAAACUGACUGAAGACAGCAGCUCUGUCCAUGUGCACAGAGAGUGGGAAGUGCCUGAAAAUUUACAUUUUCCUAGGUAGUGCUUUGCUAAUGACUGACCGGUGUGGAUGUAUAAAAGUCCAGCUCCGUGAUCUCAGACUUCCGGCCUCCAGAACUGUAAGAAAAUAAUUUUUUGUUGUUUAAGCCAUCCAGUCUGUGGUAUUUUGUUACAGCUACCCAAGCUGACUGAUAACACUGAAUUAUGUACAUAACUGAAUAACCACCUAUGGAGCAAUAAGAGCACAUUUGGAGCAUCUUCUCUACCAAGCAAGAAACAAAAACGUUCUCACCUUAUCAAUAUUCUACAAGUUAACCUCUAACUUCUCAGGGUUGUUAACUGUUUGGACUCUCUUGUUUGUAGGGAGUGACUCAGAGAAAGUUAGAGUCCCCAAGAGAGCCAUAUGCCUGAGAGACAGGCUUAAUUCUCUGGCAUGUUACUAAAAUGUCAGCCAUGUGCAGUGGCUCAUGCCUGUAAUCCCAGCUCUUUGGGAAGCUGAGGCAGGAGGAUUGCUUGAGGCCAGGAGUUUGAGACUAGCCUGGGAACGGCCCUUGUCUCCAAAAUUAAAAAUAAAUUUUUUUUAGAAAAUGUUAAAUACUGUGAAAUAAUCUAUUUCCAAGUGUUGGAUAUUUUUUCUGCACAGUAGUGAAAUUAUUGCUGGCUGUCUCGGUGUAAGAAUGGCCAUUGAGCUGCCUCAUAUCCUGAUGGGAAGGUGCAGGGCCAGAAGUUGAAUCACACUAUGAGUGUGUUUUAUGGGCCAGCUGUGAACCUAUGAAAGUAGCAAAGAAGAAAUAAGAUUUGAAAAGCAUGAUUCCAAAAGAGUCUGGAAAAUUCUUCCAGUUGUCAGACAUGCAAAGUUGUAAUUUCAUAUCCAUAAUUCUUUAUGCUUUUUCUUAUAGCAGGCCCUGACAUUGUAUAAGCUUCAGGCCCCACAAAACCUGGAUCUGCCCUGCCAGGAUCAGCAUCUAGAGGAAAACUACUACUUCCACAAUAGCACAACCAAUCUGAUCAUCCCUGCAUCAGUGAGCAUUCUCCAGAGAAACAGAGCCAACAGGAUAUGUGUAUAUAUGUGAAGAAAGACUUAUUUUAAGGAGUUGGCUCAUGCAAUUAUGGAGGUGCAAGUCCAAAAUCUGUAGGGCAGGCAGAUGGGCAGACUGGAGACCCAGAGAAGAGUUGCAGUUCAAGUCCAAAGUCGGUUGGAAGAAUUCCCUCUUGCUGGGUAACACUGGGGAAGCAGGAGUAGAUGGAAAGGGGAGGUGUCAGGCUUUGCUCUACCAAGGACUUCAACUGAUUGGAUGAGGCCCAGUAACAUUAUGGAGGGAAACCUGCUUUGCUCAGAGUUUACUGAUUUAAAUAUUAAUCUCAUCCACAAAAAAAUAAAUAACCUUCACAGAAACAUUUAGAAUAUUUGACCAAAUAUCUAAGUCCCAUGGCUCAGACAACUUAACACAUAAAAUUAUCCAUCACAAUUCCAUUAUCCCAAUACAGGUCGGCAGGGCCUUGGGCAGGUGGUAACCUCAGCUCUGGAGUCUACAGCAAUACUCUCACACUUAACAGAUGUAGUUCUGUGGGUCCAGGUCCCACUUCGCAAGAGAGAAUCUGAUGGGCUAAUUUCGACCAAGUCUCCUUUCCUAGUUCAAUCACGUGUAAGGGUUAGAGAAAGGGUUGGGCUCACAAGGGACUUAGGGCUGCCUCUCUGGACUUGGGAGAGCAGGACUUCUCAAGAGAUAAAUGGUUAGAGAGUAAUAUAAUUUGGAUAUUUGUCCCCUAUAAAUCUCAUGUUGAAAUUUGAUGUUCAAUGUUGAGGGCAGGUCUGGGACCUCCCUCCCUGCUUUUGCUCCCCCUCUCGCCAUAUGGCACAACUGCUCCCUUCACCUUCUGCUAUGAAUGGAAGCUUCCUGAGGCCUUCACCAAAAGCGGAGGCUGGUACCAUGCUUCACGCACAGCCUGCAGAAUCAUGAGCCAAAUAAACUACUUUUCUUUAUAAAUCAUCCAGUUUCAGGUAUUCGCUUAUAGCAACACAAAAUGGACUAAUACAGAGAGGAAAUAUUUUGAGCACAUUGAAGGCCCCAAAAUAUUGAGCUUUUUUUUUUUAACCUAUAUAGUACUUUUCUUGCAUCUCAGUUUGCUUAUCUAUAGAAUGAGGAUUAAUAAGACCUACCAACUUCAGGGGGUCAUUCUGGUGAGAUAAGUGAAAAAAUUUGUAAAGAAGUGUAUAAAUUUACCAUUGUUUUUUAAAACUAAAAUGAUCUCUAACACUAAGUUGAUGAUCUGAUCACAAAGAUGGGGUAGAUGAAAUGAAGAGAAAAGGUUUCUGACAUUUGUAUACUUAGAAAUGUAUCCAGGCUGGGCAUGGUGGUCCAUACCUGUAAUCCCAGCACUUUGAGAGGCCAACGCAGGAGGGUCACUUGAGGCCACGAGUUCAAAACCAGCCUGGCCACAUUGAGAGGUGACAGUGUGUUGGCAGUCCUCACAGCCCUCGCUCACUCUUGGCGCCUCCUCUGCCUGGGCUCCCACUUUGGUGGCACUUGAGGAGCUCUUCAGCCCACCGCUGCACUGUGGGAGCCCCUUUCUGGGCUGGCCAAGGCCAGAGCCGGCUCCCUCAGCGUGCAGGGAGGUGUGGAGGGAGAGGCGGGAGCGGGAACCCGGGCUGCACGCAGCGCUUGCAGGCCAGCUGGAGUUCGGGUGGGCGUGGGCUUGGCGGGGACCGCACUCGGAGCAGCCGGCGGGACCUGCCGGCCCCGGGCAAUGAGGGGCUUAGCACCCGGGCCAGUGGCUGCAGAGGUUGUACUGGGUCCCCCAGCAGUGCCAGCCCACCGGCGCUGUGCUCGAUUUCUCGCCUGGCCUUAGCUGCCCUCCCGCGGGGCAGGGCUCGGGACCUGCAGCCUGCCAUGCCUGAGCCUCCCACCCCCUCCGUGGGCUCCUGUGCGGCUGGAGCCUCCCUGAUGAGCACCGCCCCUUGCUCCACGGCGCCCAGUCCCAUCGACCAUUCAAGCGCUGAGGAGUGCGGGUGCAUGGCGCGGGACUGGCAGGCAGCUCCACCUGCAGCUCUGGUGCAGGAUCCACUGGGGGAAGCCAGCUGGGUUCCUGAGUCUGGUGGGGAGUGGAGAAUCUUUAUGUCUAGCUCAGGGAUUGUAAAUACACCAAUCGGCACUCUGUAUCUAGCUCAAGGUUUGUAAACACACCAAUCAGCACCCUGUGUCUAGCUCAGAGUUUGUGAAUGCACCAAUCGACACUCUGUAUCUAGCUACUCUGGUGGGGCCUUGGAGAACCUUUGUGUCAACACUCUAUAUCUAGCUAAUCUGGUGGGGACCUGGAGAACUUUUGUGUCUAGCUCAGGGAUUGUAAACGCACCAAUCAGCGCCCUGUCAAAACAGACCACUCAGCUCUACCAAUCAGCAGGAUGUGGGUGGGGCCAGAUAAGAGAAUAAAAGCAGGCUGCCCGAGUCAGCAGUGGCAACCUGUUCGGGUCCCCUUCCACACUGUGGAAGCUUUGUUCUUUUGCUCUUUGCAAUAAAUCUUGCUACUGCUCACUCUUUGGGUCCACACUGCCUUUAUGAGCUGUAACACUCACCGUGAAGGUCUGCAGCUUCACUCCUGAAGCCAGCGAGACCACGAGCCCACCGGGAGGAACAAACAACUCCAGACGCGCCACCUUAAGAGCUGUAACACUGACUGCGAAGGUCUGCAGCUUCACUCCUGAGCCAGCGAGACCACGAACCCACCAGAAGGAAGAAACCCCGAACACAUCUGAACAUCAGAAGGAACAAACUCUGGACACGCUGCCUUUAAGAACUGUAACACUCACCGCGAGGGUCCGCUGCUUCAUUCUUGAAGACAGUGAGACCAAGAACCCACCAACUCCAGACACAACAUGACGAGACCCCAUCUCUAUAAAAAAUUUAAAAAUUGGCCAGUGUGGUCGUCCAUGCCUAUAGUCCCAGCUACAUGGGAGGCUGAGGUGGGACAAUCAAUCACUUGAGCUCAGGAUUUCAAGCCUGCAGUGAACUAUGGUCACACCACUGCACUCCAGCCUGGAUAACUUGUGUCAGAAAAAAAUAAAAAUGAGAGAGAGGGAGGAAGAGAGACAGAGA
rnacentral:lncRNA from 1 species